GAUAAGCGUUAUCAGUUCUUUUUGUAAAACAUGUAUCAAGGAAUAUUAAUUGAAUUCCAAGGAAAGGUAAUGCAUCAAUUGUUUAUCACGCAACUCCUAUCACCUAAUGCAUCAUAUAAGGUGAUAAAGCAUUUAAAUAACAAGGAAGGGGCAAAUGCACCGGGGCUUACCAGGGAUAACACUAGGUUAGUGUUGUUAGACGACGAUCACUUGAUGAUCAACUCUUGUUCUAACACUCGCUUAGUCCAUCCAUCUUUAGGCUCAUCGGCCGACAUCGUCUUGUGGGUUGUUUUGAUCCACACCCUUUGCUUCACACGUUUCUCAGCUAGCGUACCUAAUUAGAUGUAUGGUGCACAUGAAUGAAUACGAGCAGGAAUAUCAAGACUAAAUAAUGCUUCACGAAAGUGAACUAAACACUUAGUGUCGAUCCAUCACAUUUCCUUAAUCAAACAAGUUGAACACUAUCACAUAACAUAAAGUUCCAUGGAAUUUGCAUUCUUAACUUUUAUGAAUCACAAGCAUUUAUAACCUAGUUUAUUACACAAUUACAAGGUACUUACAUCACACUUAAAAUCACAAGAACUAACCAAACCUAGUGACCUACACAAAAGCAAUUCCAAACAACCAUUUUAAUUCUUGCUGAUUUUGGACAGCAAAACACUAUUUGUUUAGCUCAUAACUCACAAGGUAUUCAUCCUAACAGAGUAAACUAGCUUAUGAAAGCUUAUGAAGUCCUCUAUAACUUUGGUAUUAUCAUGACAAUCAGAUUCGACAUUUAGAAAGGUCAAACAACGCUAAACGUAAAUUCUGUCCAGAUUUGAACAGAAUUCGACUACUCACUUCAAAAAUCCAUAACUAGAGUCUCAGGCAUCCAAUUUAGGUGAUCCUAGACUUUUAAAAAGAUAAUAGAAUUGUCUACAAUUCAUUUAUAAACAUCCCAGGUUAAUUCAAUACAUAUCAAAGUUAAAAGACAUGAUAAAGGCUCGGCUGUCCAAAUUUAGAUAGAUUCAGAGAUCCCACUUCAAACAGCUGUAACUUAACUUAUAGAUCACCAAAAAGGGUGAUCCAAAAUUUGUUGGAAAGCUUAAAAAAAGUACUACAAUUCUCCUAUAAUUACUAAGAGCUGAUUCUCAGUUUAGCUUAUCCAAACAAUGCAAUUUUCGAAACCUGUACAGAAUUUGGAAAGAUUUUGAGACUGUACUUUGAAAAAUCAUAACGCCUAAACUACUAAACCUAUGGUCAUGAAAUUUUUACACAAGCAAGACAAAGGAGUAAGCUACAACCUUUCUAAAUAACAUUUCUACAGAAAACAUGGUUUACUUCACUGAACUAGCUGCAUAACUAAAACUGGUCAUGCAGUCCCAAACAACAAGAAUUCAAUUCAGUUCCUAUUUAACUUCUACAAAUUUUUAUGCUCUUGAUACUUCAAAUACUCUAUGCCUUAUCCUAAAUUAUAGCUAAAACCACCUAAUAUAACAAGGCAUUCAUAUUACCAAACAUUAGGAACUUGCUCAAACAACACUAAUACUUCUUAUCUAAGAAACACUAGAAGAACUAAAUAUAUUCUUUGGAUUACUAAAUUCACCUAGCUUUGGUAUUAUUAACCCGACCAUUUCAUUCAUAUACGCUAACCAAAUCCUCUAUACUUGAGAAAUACCCUUACCAAAAUACUCUACACAAGCAUUAUGCAUAUCUCUAAUUAGUUUCAUAAUACACGACAUACAUACUUGUCUCAACUCCAACUCACGCCAUACAACAUAUCUACUUUCCCCUCAGACGACAACCAUACUAUUUGUCGGCGUUUCGAGACCGGGGGGUCCCUAAGCCGACGAGUGAGUGUGUCGCGUGCCCCAGCCUAGAUGGGUCGAGCGCGUGGGCGAGCGUGAAGGGGGGAGAGCGAGGUGGCCGGAGACGGGCGUGAGAGAGGUGGAAAUCCCGCGGCCUUCAUGUUCGUCCCGCGCCCAGGUCGGGUGCGCUUGCAGUAGGGGGUUACAAGCGUCCACGCGGGUGAGGGAGGCGAGCGGCCCCAAGAGAGCGCCUGUCCCGUCCUCGUCCCCGCGCGGCCAACCUUCUCUAAGAAGGCCCUGGUCCUUCCUUUUAUAGGCGUAAGGAAAGGAUCCAGGUGUACAAUGGGGGUGUAGCAGAGUGCUACGUGUCUAGCGGGGGGAGAGCUAGCGCCCUAAGUACAUGCCGAUGUGGCAGCCGGAGAGAUCUUGGCACCCUGCUGGUGUGAUGUCGUGGAUGUCGGAGGAGCAACGGAGCCUGGCGGAGGGACAGCUGUCGGAGCGGUUGAGUCCUUACUGACGUCCCCCUGCUUCCGUAAGGGAGCUGAGAGCCGCCGUCGUCAUAGGGCUAGCGGGGCGCCAUCAUUGCCUAUCUAGCGGAGCUAGCCAGAUGGGACACCGGUUUUGUUCUCUGCGGCCCGAGUCGGCUCGGGGUAGGGUGAUGAUGGCGCUUCCUGUUGACGCGGCGGGCCUGUGCCCUAGGUCGGGCGACGGGAGGCUCCUCCGAAGCCGAGGUCGAGUCUGUCUUCCAUGGCCGAGGCCGAGCCCGAGCCCCUGGGUCGGGCGAGGCGGAGGCCGUUCGGCAGAGGCCAGGGCGGAGUCUGAGCCCUGAGGUCGGGCGAAGCGGAGUUCGUCGUCUUCUGGGGCUGAGCCCGAGUCCGAGCCCUGGGUCGGGCGGAGCGGAGUUCGUCGUCUUCUGGGGCCAAGCCCGAGUCCGAGCCCUGGGUCGGGCGGAGCAAAGUUCGCCGUCUUCCGGGGCUUAGCCCGAAUCCGAGCCCUGGGUCGGGCGGAGCGGAGUUCGCCGUCUUCAGGGGCUUAGCCCGAGUCCGAGCCCUGGGUCGGGCGGAGCGGAGUUCGCCGUCUUCCGGGGCCUAGCCCGAGUCCGAGCCCUGGGUCGGGCGGAGCGGAGUUCGCCGUCUUCCGAGGCUUAGCCCGAGUCUGAGCCCUGGGUCAGGCGGAGCGGAGUUCGCCGUCUUCCGGGGCUUAGCCCGAGUCCGAGCCCUGGGUCGGGCGGAGCGGAGUUCGCCGUCUUCCGGGGCCUAGCCCGAGUCCGAGCCCUGGGUCGGGCGGAGCGGAGUUCGCCGUCUUCCGGGGCCUAGCCUGUGACGGAACCUCCCAAGUAAUUAGGCCCACCUACAGUUGUCCUUGUCUAACAGACAUCAGACACCCUGUAGAUGUUCCUAAGUCACUUGACAAGUUCGGUAUCUUUCCUUACCUUACCAGGAACGUCUCACCCGUCUUGCAGACAUUACAGAACAUCAGAGAUAAAGAAAUACGGAAGCGAAUUACAUAACUUACAUUUAUUUCAAAAGCAAGCUUGAGUUAUUUUAUUACAGACCAGAACUAAAAGUGAGUGCAGAGUAGUAAUAUUAUACAAACCAAGGGAGGCACAAACUCCUCCCGAUAAGUUUAUAAGCAAAGGAUCCUAAGUGGAGGACCGAGUCCUCCCGCACUUCAGUCUUGUUUUUCUUCUUUGGGAACCACCUUGGCACAGAAGCAGCAAAAGUCUGCUACUUCCUCACCUAAAAACAACGAAGGGAUAAACCCUGAGUAUGGAAUUACUCAGCAAGUCUUACCCGACUAAAGAAAAGACUCUCAAGGGUAUGCUGGUUAUAUGGGAGUCAAGGUAAGGCUUUUCAAUAAUCAAAAGACUCUGUUUUGCAGAAAUGCUUACUAAAGUGGAUCCUUAAAAAUCCAAUUUUAUUUGUCAAGUUAAGUAAAAUUACCCGCACUAGAGUUCUUUCUACCCUAGUUCAAUCACUGGUCCUGCACUAGCCAAUUUCUUAACAAAAGCCCUUCGUCUUUAGUGGAAUGCUACGUGUAGGGCAGUGGCCAAGUCUUCAUAACCGCGAAGGUACGACAAUCCGAAUCGAUUAUACUCAGCUGAGGAUCUCCAAUCACACGACAUAUGUAGCACUUAACCCUUGCAUAUGUCAACCCGCCACCGGGGUUCUUAAGACCGGAUCAGGUUCACGCAAACCGAGAGCACAGAUACACCACCGUCCAGCCUCUUGCCACGGAGGGUACACGCUACUCUCGCCACCGCUCCACGCCCAUUUCGUGUUAUCUUAUUCCGGCCUUAGUCUGCCCGAGGCAAGGCUUACCCAUGACGAGGCAUGUGACCAGUUAAAGGGUCCUCGAUCAUCAAGCCUACAUCGACAAGGUCCUUAAUCGACUCAGACGGAGACACUACACCGAGACUCUCUUCUCGUGCAAGUCACCCGCCCGGUCUCAACUUAAUUAUUUCAAACCCAAAGUUUGGUACCUGGCAGAGGUACAUCUUUUCCGAUGUUGAACCUAUCAAGGCCUUUGAUAGAUCCAUCAUCAAGUUUUAUUUUCGAAAACAUCCCACCCACUUUUGCCACAACAUCUUUUGUAAAAACAAAACCUUUUGUUUUUCUAAAGCAAGGCUAAGCAUCAAAAGCUUUUGUAAAACAGGUGAUCAAGGAAGGUAAUCAAAUUCAAGGAAGGUAAUGCAGGAAUGGUUUUAUCAAGCAACUCCUAUCACCUAAUGCAGCAAUCAAGUGAGAAAGAUUUUUAAAACAGCAAGGAAGGUGGCAAAUGCACCGGGGCUUGCCUUCGUUUACAGGUGAUUCGGGUUCGGAUCCACAGAUAUCGAAGUAGAAGCAGUUGCCUGCUUGCGAAUCCGAAGGUGGUGGUGUCCUGUCUUCGGUGACUUCUAUCUCUUCUUCACGUUCUAAUCAUAACCAUACAUAUGUAUAAGAAUGGAUGCCAUGGGAUGCUCAUGAGGAUGCAAAGAUAAUAUAAACUUAUUAUCAAUGUCUUGAAUACAACUUUCCUUCACGGAAUUCCGGGAACUUAGGGUUUCCGGAGUCGGUAAAGGAGUUCAUAGGGCAGGGGGGUGGUUUGGGGUUUGGUGAUCAAACAAGGUCCAAAUCAUUUCAAACCCUACCCAAGGCUUCUAAAUAUUGUUUUAAGUUCCCAUAAAAAGUUUGGACAUUUUUGGACUUACCAAUUAUUUUCUAAAAAUCCAUAACUAAUACUUUUAACUACUUUAAAUACCCUAAAAUUUCUUAUUUUCACUAAAAAUCAUAAAACUAUUUUUACUAAAUUCUAGGGAAAAUAACAAGCCUAGGAAAAUUAGUUUCACAAUUUUAGCAUUUUUCUACAUUUUUCUACAUAUUUCUAAAGCUCUGUUGAAAAAGAAAAAGAAAAGGUUGAAACAGUGAUGGGCCGGUUUCAGCCCAGGCGGCCCAGUCCAGAGAGGAAAACGCGCGCGCGCGCCCGCGCCCUGGCGAUUUUGCACAAAGACCCUCGCGUUUCUGGAUAACAGGAAACAAGUUCCCUUACUGUUUUUAUGAGUCGCUGACUGUUUACAAAAACACCCUCCAACUUCUAUUCCUUCACCCGACACGUCCUCGACGACGGCAGCGCACGGAGGAGCUCCGGCGAGCGCGUAGACCGGCCGAGCGAGGCUAAGACCGGUGCUUAGCUUUGGCGUAAACCGAAUUCACUACCUGAAGAACGUUUCCCCUAAUUUAAUUUGAAGAAUGGUGCCCUAUUUUGCCCUGACCACGGCAACCGUGAGUAUUGUGGCUAGGCAGUCGCGUUCCCGGCGACCAGAGGAUUCUUAAUUCAAUUGCAUGCGUCGGUGAGUUUGAGGGAAGCUUAAGGAUGCUAAAACGAGAUUAGAGAGGGCGUGAUCGGACCUGGGGAGGGCUGGCCACGACGAGGUGCUUUCACGGCGGCGGAGAACUGUUUUGGGGAGAAUUUGAAAUUCGCGGGCGCUGGUGAAUGAUCGAGGGUGGGAGCGGGUGCUAUGGCUUCAGGAUGAUCUAGCGCAGUUGCCCGGGCCUUCAAUUUAUAGGGCUCGCAAGCGGUGGCCGGUGAAUCGGACGGGACGCGCGGCGGCCAGAGGAAGAAGAAAGCACUGGCGCAAACGCUAGGUGGCUUCUACCGUGGCGAACGUCGUGGCAAGGACUUAGGUAAUAGAAGGACGGCGUAUGGUAAUCGACUGCGACGUGGUAAGAUGACCGACGGCGUGGCAUGUCAGCAAAGAACGGCGGCGCGCCGGUGAUGGCCGUGCGGCCACGUCGCCGGUAAGUGGAGGAGUGACCGAGUGGCCACAGUGCUCCAAGUUUAUCCACGGUGAGAUCUUUUCAGGGUGAGCAACAUCCACACGGCCGCGGCACCAAUCCCGGCAAAGAGGUCGCCGGCGGUGAGAUCUUUUGGCGCUGGCGGUUUGAUCUUUAACCGAGCACUGUACCAUGGCUAAAACCUGAUUCAGUCUUUUGUUACCUGCCUGACAGAGCAAGUUCAGGUUACAUUUUCUCUAAAUUUUCCUUAGCAACUCAUCCAAGGCUCUGCAGCAAAAUUGUAGACCAAUGUUCCAGCUACAAUGUUGCCAUAACAACUAUAGCCAAAUUCCAAUUAAAUCAUGCUUGAAUUUGUGCCCAAAGUUCCUGUAGUGCACUGUUAGUCUGAAAAUUCAGACCUUAACAGCCUGAUAGGCAGAUUUUGGAGCAUGAUUAUCUCUAGAUUUUUCACAAGAACAUGACUUGAAUCCUUAAACAAAGUUGUUCUCCUAUAAUUGGGCUACAAACUUGUUGUGGUCACUUUGGGCAAAAACCCUAUAUUUUAGAAGAUACAGGGCUCCAAAGUUGAACCAACAAAACUGAAUUUCAGACUUAGGCUCUAUAGUGCUUAAGAGGUGAUUUUUGCAAAUAAGCCCAAAACUUAGGGUUUAACUUGCAAAUUCACAUAUUUGUGAACCAAAUGACUUUAUAUGUUUAAACAUAGUAGUUUUUACACUUUAGUCCAAAGGUUCAUCAUUUUUGCACAUAAGCCCCUAGGGUUUGGUUUUAGGGUUUUCCAAGGUUCCAAUUAGGGUUUCUGGUAUCCCAGGGGUAUAAAAGUGAUUCAAGUUUAUUCUUAGGGUCAUUUUAUGACUUUUCCCUUAAAGCCUUUAGGUUUUCUCAACUUGGUUAAGUUUUACCCCUUUAAUCCCUGUUUAGGGUUAAAGCUUCCUUUCUAGGGUCCUAUUUGCAAAACAUUAAAACAAUACAACUUGUUUGAAAUUUUUGCCUAGUGAAUGCACUCUAGGUGUGUCAAACAUAUGCAAUGCUAAUGCUUAUGAUGCCAUGCUCAAGUUUUAGUUAUAGUAACACCAGGGGUGUUACAUCCUUCCCCCCAUAAAAGAAUCUCGUCCCGAGAUUAAAAGCGCUAGGGUAAGUAAUGGUAAAGGAAACACAUCACAUUUUUAUUUCCUUAUUUUUGGUACAAGGCAGGGUGAUGUGGGGGUCACUUCUUUAUUACACAGUUAUACAGACUUUACAAUUUACAAGAGGCUAGAAAGCCUAGGAAAUUCUUAUUCAAGAAGUCUUGAGUUUCCCAAGUAGCUUCAUCUUCAGAAUGCUGGUUCCACUGUAUCUUGUAGAAAUUGAGAGUCUUUCGUCGGGUGAUCCUGUCCUUUUGAUCUAGAACUUGAAUAGGAUGCUCUGAGUAUGUUAAAUCUGGCUCCAGGACAACAUCAGUCACUUCAAUGGUUCGAUCGGGAACCCGAAGACACUUCUUCAAUUGUGACACGUGGAACACAUUAUGCACAACAGACAAUGUUUCGGGGAGCUAAAGUCGGUAUGCCACUGGUCCACAUUGCUCAAGCACCAGGAAUGGACCAAUGUACCUGGGUGCAAGUUUCCCUUUAACCCCAAAACGCGAUACACCUUUCAUUGGUGAGACCUUCAGGUAAACAUAGUCUCCUUCCAGGAAAUAUAAGGGCAUUCGUCGUGUGCCUGCAUAACUCUUCUGACGAGCUUGUGCCUUCUUCAUAUUAUAAAUAAUUUUCUGAACCUUAUCCUCGGCCUCUUUCACCAUAUCAGGCCUAAAGAAGCAUCUUUCUCCAGGUUCAGACCAAUUUAGCGGAGUUCGACACCGACGUCCAUAUAAAGCUUCAAAGGGUGCCAUCUUGAUACUUUCUUGAUAACUGUUAUUGUAUGAAAACUCCGCCAAAGGCAAACAUUCAUCCCAUUUUGGUGAGAAGUCCAGAACACAUGCCCGCAGCAUAUCUUCAAGUAUUUGGUUCACUCUCUCAGUCUGUCCACUGGUUUGAGGAUGAUAGGCCGAACUGUGGAGUAACUUAGUACCCAGGGAUUUAUGAAGUUCUUCCCAGAAUUUGGAUACAAAUUGUGGUCCACGAUCCGACACUAUAGUCUUUGGAACACCAUGCAAACUGAGAAUACGGGCGAUGUACAAUUCCACAUAGGUAAGGACGGGAUAUUUUACUUUGACAGGGAGGAAGUGGGCGAUCUUUGUGAGUCGAUCAAUGAUAACCCAAAUAGAGUCAUAUCCUUUUGCAGUUCUGGGCAAUCCCACAAUAAAGCACAUACUGAUGUCUUCCCAUUUCCAUGUUGGGAUUGGCAAAGAUUGUAAUGGACCAGCAGUUUUCAUGUGUAUGGCCUUGACACGUCUGCAAGUGUCACACCUAGCCACAUAGCGUGCAAUUUCAAUCUUCAUCUUUGUCCACCAGUAGUGUUGCUUUAAGUCUUGAUACAUCUUAGUGCUUCCGGGAUGAAUAGAAUAGCGACUAAGAUGUGCUUCAUCAAGAAUUUGCUGGCGGAGUUCUUCGUUCUUUGGUACUACUAUGCGGUUUUUAAACCAUAUCACACCUUGAUCGUCUUCCUUGAAACACUUGGCUACUCCAGCCCUUAUCUUCUCUCGAAUGUGCUUCAUGCCCAGAUUAUCUUUUUGAGCAUCAAUUAUUCUUUGCAAAAUGAUUGACUCAAGCUUUAACUGAUUCAGAGUCCCUUGUUGGAUGAUCCCCAGGUUUAGCUUUUCCAUUUCUUGACACAAAGUGUUCUCGGAGGUCUUCGCCAUAAGACAGUGGCAGGAAGUCUUACGACUCAAUGCAUCUGCCACCACAUUGGCUUUGCCUGGGUGAUAAUGGAUCUCCAGUUCAUAGUCUUUAAUGAGCUCAAGCCAUCGUCUUUGCCUCAUAUUUAACUCUGACUGGGUGAAGAUAUACUUCAAACUUUUAUGAUCUGUAUAUAUGUGACAGAUAUUUCCCAGCAGAUAGUGACGCCAAAUCUUCAGGGCAUGAACCACAGUAGCUAGCUCCAGAUCAUGAGUUGGAUAAUGCUCCUCAUGUCGGCGCAACUGCCUUGAAGCAUACGCAAUUACUCGGCCCUCUUGCAUCAAUACACAGCCGAGCCCACUGCCAGACGCAUCACAAUAUACAUCAAAAGGUUUAGUGAUGUCCGGUUGAGCCAAUACCGGAGCAGUGGUCAAUAGUGUCUUCAAUUGCUCAAAGGCUUCAUUACACUUAGAAGACCAAUUGAACUUAAUGUCAUUCUUCAAUAAACUUGUGAUUGGCUUCACAAGCUUAGAAAAAUCUGGUAUGAAUCUGCGAUAAUACCCAGCUAGUCCAAGAAAACUCCGGACUUGGUGAACGGUGGUUGGGGGUUUCCACUCCAGAAUAUCUUUGACCUUGCUAGGAUCUACCGCAAUUCCUUUGGCCGAUAACACGUGCCCCAGAAAUUGAAUUUCUUCCAGCCAGAACGCGCACUUGCUGAACUUGGCAUAUAGCUGAUGUUCCCUGAGGCGCGUCAAUACAAUCCGUAGAUGCUGAGCAUGGUCUUCUUCAUUCUUAGAAUAUAUCAAGAUAUCAUCAAUGAAGACUACCACGAACUUGUCCAACUCGGGCAUGAACACCGAGUUCAUCAAAUAGGUGAAGUGGGCAGGAGCAUUUGUGAGCCCGAAAGACAUUACCAGGUAUUCAAACAAUCCAUACCGCGUAGUAAACGUGGUCUUCGGUAUAUCCUCGGGCCGAAUACGGAUUUGAUGAUAGCCCAACCUGAGAUCAAUUUUGGAAAAUACCCUCGCCCCAGUCAGUUGAUCAAAUAAGAUGUUGAUCCUUGGAAGAGGGUACUUAUUCUUGAUGGUGACCUCAUUCAGGGGUCGAUAAUCCACGCACAUUCGCAAGGUUUGAUCCUUCUUCUUAACAAAAAUGGCGGGGCAACCCCAUGGGGACGAGCUUGGCCGGAUGAAUCCCUUAUUCAGUAGAUCUUGUAAUUGAAUUUUCAAUUCCGCUAACUCAUUAGGGGGCAUACGGUACGACCUUCGGGAGAUGGGAGCCGUACCGGGCUUUAGCUCAAUUACGAAUUCUACAUCUCUUUCAGGGGGCAGUCCAGGCAAAUCUUCCGGAAAUACAUCUGGAAACUCACAUACUACCGGAAUGUUCUUGAUCUCCGGUACAAUGGCUUCAUAUACUCUACCAGAAGUUUUGGCUGGAUUGGUUGCGGGGAGAGUCAAAAGAAUCUCUUCUUGAUUAUUGCUCAACCUGACGGUUCUGAGUUCAGUGUUGAGAAUUGCCUUGUGCUAGGUUAACCAAUUCAUACCCAAAAUUACAUCUAUAUCCUGGCCCUUCAGAACAAUCAUGUUAGCAGGAAAGUUCCGUCCGGCCAUUGUUACUGGCACUUCAUAGGCCACUUCUCUAGUAAAAAUAUGUGUCCCCCAGGUGAAUGAAUUUUAAAUCCCUCCUUUGAUUCAUGGUAUGCAAUAUGAUGUUGCUCCACAAAUUUCUUGCUAAUGAAUGUAUGUGAAGCACCAGAAUCAAAAAGAAUAAUUGUUGGGUGACUGGCCACGGGAAACGUACCCAUCAUCACCGGCUCUCCUUCCGGUGUAGUGGCCACUUGAGUGUAAUAUACACGCCCCGUCUUCUUUGUAUUUUUCCCCAUAGCAUUUCCUUUGGGCUAAGCUGAUUUCCCAGAUCCUUGCGGAGCAUUUGAUUGAUUUUGCCUAGGAUAUGGGCAGUCCUUGAUGAAAUGUCCUGACUUGCCGCAAUUAAAACACCCAGUUGAAGAACUAGGCAAGGCAGGAAAUCGAGUGCCUGGGGCACCCGGCUGAUUUGGGGUAGUGGGGGUAUUGUUGGGGCGAAUAAUGAUUGGCUGUUUAAAAGGGAAUGAGGGUGGACGAGAAAAAGUGCGAUUUUGGCUUGAAGGCCGGAUCACAAACCGUUGCUUCUUCGCCUGGCCCUGAUUAGGCCUCUCACCACCAAAUCCCUUAUUCUUCCCAGAAUUUGCGUAUUUGGCUUCAACAGAUAAGGCUGUGCUGACAGCCUUUCCAUACGUGAGAUCUAUGCAUGUGGCCAUUUUCCUUUGUAGCCGAUCAUUCAGUCCCCGCAUAAAACAGUUCUUCUUCUUUAAAUCAGUAUUCACCUGGUCGAUGGCAUACUGCGACAGGUGAUUAAACUUGUUAAGAUAUUGGUUGACGAUAUCUCCCCCUUGUUGUAACUUCAUAAAUUCCUCUUGUUUCAUAUGCAGCACUCCUUCGGGUAUGUAGUGCUCACGGAAGGCUGCUUUAAACUCAUCCCAGGUGACUUGAUGGUUGACAGGUUGAAUAGCCACAAAAUUUCCCCACCAGGUACUGGCAGGACCACGUAAUUGUUGUGCUGCAAAUAAUGGCUUCUGCGUCUCUGAGCAACAGAGAAGACCAAACUUUUGUUCAAUAACCCGAAUCCACUCAUCAGCUUCUAGUGGAUCUUCUGCCUUGAUGAAUAGAGGUGGGCGGGUUUCCAAGAAAUCCAAAUAAGUAGUUUCACGGGGGCCUUGCUGAAAACCCCUUCCUGCCUGCUGCUGGAAUUGCUGCUGACCCGCCAUUUCCCUAAGGAAGCGGGUAUUGUCUGCGGUGGCAUUCACCAAGGCGGCAAUUGCCUCGGCUAACGUGGGAGGAAUCGGAGGUGGGUUUGGGGUAACAUCCCUUCCCCCAGAAGUUCCGGCUGCGUCCUGUCCUCGAGUCCUGGUCGGCAUCUGUGGCAAAGAACAUUUGAAGUAAACAUAAUAUGCCAGAGAAAACCUUCCAUUUUACAUUACUAUAAAAAGUAAUGAUACAAACUCGAUAUUACAUACAGGAUACAUUACCCAUUAUACAAGAGUUCAACCUAUUAUACAACAGUACACCCUACAAUACACUACUCUACUUUUACUUCUAUUACACCAUUAUUCCUGCUUUCCCUUACUCUUAGCGGCCUCAUCGUCAGGUGUGGGAGUCCAGACAUCAACCAACCUCAAGGAAGGAGGGGGCUCAAAAAGGUCUAACUCCCCACCCAGCGCGCGUCCCGCAACGUGAGAUGGUCCGGCUUCCGCCUCAGCAGGGUGUACAGGCUCACUAGGGUGUAGUUGUGAGUAUAGUAUAUGGACUUCCUCAUGCAACGUAUUGCAGUAAACCUGCAGGUCAUCGACAGUCGAGCUAAGUUCUUUAAUUCGGGCCUGAGCCCUUGCUUCCUUAGCACACAUUAGCAAACGAGACUGUACGGCCCAGUCAAGUGCUAAGUCUCGAUCAGCGAGCUGAUCCUGUAGAUGUCGGAUGUCCCUUCUCAGUUCAUUGAUUCUAUCUCCGUCGGCGACCCAAGCAUCGGUCCUGUGUUGAAGUGCCGCUUGAAGUCGACUCACACGGGCUUCAAGAUCUCCGAUGGGGUCAUUACUUCCACUGCUGCUGCUUUCAUGUCGGGGAGCCAAUUGAUGCCGAGGCACCCCAAUUGGUCCCGUAGACUUGCGUGCCGUUAGCCUUGUGCGUGGCGGCAUCUUUCUAAGGGGGAAAAUGUUAUUAGUACGAUUCUUAGCAUGAUGCAUGUAUAAUUACAGAAUCAACCAUAGUCGAUUCAACCUUCUAUACAUUGCACUCUUCCUAUCUGGUCUUUAAGAUAGACUCUUCAGAAUACUUAGGUAAGAAGAGAAAAGAGUUUUAGGUAAGACUUUUGAAAAUCCUUUUGAAGAUGCCUCAUAAUAUCUGCAAAGAAGGGCUACGCUCCGAUACCAGCUGUGACGGAACCUCCCAAGUAAUUAGGCCCACCUACAGUUGUCCUUGUCUAACAGACAUCAGACACCCUGUAGAUGUUCCUAAGUCACUUGACAAGUUCGGUAUCUUUCCUUACCUUACCAGGAACGUCUCACCCGUCUUGCAGACAUUACAGAACAUCAGAGAUAAAGAAAUGCGGAAGCGAAUUACAUAACUUACAUUUAUUUCAAAAGCAAGCUUGAGUUAUUUUAUUACAGACCAGAACUAAAAGUGAGUACAGAGUAGUAAUAUUAUACAAACCAAGGGAGGCACAAACUCCUCCCGAUAAGUUUAUAAGCAAAGGAUCCUAAGUGGAGGACCGAGUCCUCCCACACUUCAGUCUUGUUUUUCUUCUUUGGGAACCACCUUGGCACAGAAGCAGCAAAAGUCUACUACUUCCUCACCUAAAAACAACGAAGGGAUAAACCCUGAGUAUGGAAUUACUCAGCAAGUCUUACCCGACUAAAGAAAAGACUCUCAAGGGUAUGCUGGUUAUAUGGGAGUCAAGGUAAGGCUUUUCAAUAAUCAAAAGACUCUGUUUUGCAGAAAUGCUUACUAAAGUGGAUCCUUAAAAAUCCAAUUUUAUUUGUCAAGUUAAGUAAAAUUACCUGCACUAGAGUUCUUUCUACCCUAGUUCAAUCACUGGUCCUGCACUAGCCAAUUUCUUAACAAAAGCCCUUCGUCUUUAGUGGAAUGCUACGUGUAGGGCAGUGACCAAGUCUUCAUAACCGCGAAGGUACGACAAUCCGAAUCGAUUAUACUCAGCUGAGGAUCUCCAAUCACACGACAUAUGUAGCACUUAACCCUUGCAUAUGUCAACCCGCCACCGGGGUUCUUAAGACCGGAUCAGGUUCACGCAAACCGAGAGCACAGAUACACCACCGUCCAGCCUCUUGCCACGGAGGGUACACGCUACUCUCGCCACCGCUCCACGUCAAUUUCGUGUUAUCUUAUUCCGGCCUUAGUCUGCCCGAGGCAAGGCUUACCCAUGACGAGGCAUGUGACCAGUGAAAGGGUCCUCGAUCAUCAAGCCUACAUCGACAAGGUCCUUAAUCGACUCAGACGGAGACACUACACCGAGACUCUCUUCUCGUGCAAGUCACCCACCCGGUCUCAACUUAAUUAUUUCAAACCCAAAGUUUGGUACCUGGCAGAGGUACAUCUUUUUCGAUGUUGAACCUAUCAAGGCCUUUGAUAGAUCCAUCAUCAAGUUUUAUUUUCGAAAACAUCCCACCCACUUUUGCCACAACAUCUUUUGUAAAAACAAAACCUUUUGUUUUUCUAAAGCAAGGCUAAGCAUCAAAAGCUUUUGUAAAACAGGUGAUCAAGGAAGGUAAUCAAAUUCAAGGAAGGUAAUGCAGGAAUGGUUUUAUCAAGCAACUCCUAUCACCUAAUGCAGCAAUCAAGUGAGAAAGAUUUUUAAAACAGCAAGGAAGGUGGCAAAUGCACCGGGGCUUGCCUUCGUUUACAGGUGAUUCGGGUUCGGAUCCACAGAUAUCGAAGUAGAAGCAGUUGCCUGCUUGCGAAUCCGAAGGUGGUGGUGUCCUGUCUUCGGUGACUUCUAUCUCUUCUUCACGUUCUAAUCAUAACCAUACAUAUGUAUAAGAAUGGAUGCCAUGGGAUGCUCAUGAGGAUGCAAAGAUAAUAUAAACUUAUUAUCAAUGUCUUGAAUACAACUUUCCUUCACGGAAUUCCGGGAACUUAGGGUUUCCGGAGUCGGUAAAGGAGUUCAUAGGGCAGGGGGGUGGUUUGGGGUUUGGUGAUCAAACAAGGUCCAAAUCAUUUCUAACCCUACCCAAGGCUUCUAAAUAUUGUUUUAAGUUCCCAUAAAAAGUUUGGACAUUUUUGGACUUACCAAUUAUUUUCUAAAAAUCCAUAACUAAUACUUUUAACUACUUUAAAUACCCUAAAAUUUCUUAUUUUCACUAAAAAUCAUAAAACUAUUUUUACUAAAUUCUAGGGAAAAUAACAAGCCUAGGAAAAUUAGUUUCACAAUUUUAGCAUUUUUCUACAUUUUUAUACAUAUUUCUAAAGCUCUGUUGAAAAAGAAAAAGAAAAGGUUGAAACAGUGAUGGGCCGGUUUCAGCCCAGGCGGCCCAGUCCAGAGAGGAAAACGCGCGCGCGCGCCCGCGCCCUGGCGAUUUUGCACAAAGACCCUCGCGUUUCUGGAUAACAGGAAACAAGUUCCCUUACUGUUUUUAUGAGUCGCUGACUGUUUACAAAAACACCCUCCAACUUCUAUUCCUUCACCCGACACGUCCUCGACGACGGCAGCGCACGGAGGAGCUCCGGCGAGCGCGUAGACCGGCCGAGCGGGGCCAAGACCGGUGCUUAGCUUUGGCGUAAACCGAAUUCACUACCUGAAGAACGUUUCCCCUAAUUUAAUUUGAAGAAUGGUGCCCUAUUUUGCCCUGACCACGGCAACCGUGAGUAUUGUGGCUAGGCAGUCGCGUUCCCGGCGACCAGAGGAUUCUUAAUUCAAUUGCAUGCGUCAGUGAGUUUGAGGGAAGCUUAAGGAUGCUAAAACGAGAUUAGAGAGGGCGUGAUUGGACCUGGGGAUGGCUGGCCACGACGAGGUGCUUUCACGGCGGCGGAGAACUGUUUUGGGGAGAAUUUGAAAUUCGCGGGCGCUGGUGAAUGAUCGAGGGUUGGAGCGGGUGCUAUGGCUUCAGGAUGAUCUAGCGCAGUUGCCCGGGCCUUCAAUUUAUAGGGCUCGCAAGCGGUGGCUGGUGAAUCGGACGGGACGCGCGGCGGCCAGAGGAAGAAGAAAGCACUGGCGCAAACGCUAGGUGGCUUCUACCGUGGCGAACGUCGUGGCAAGGCCUUAGGUAAUAGAAGGACGGCGUAUGGUAAUCGACUGCGACGUGGUAAGAUGACCGACGGCGUGGCAUGUCAGCAAAGAACGGCGGCGCGCCGGUGAUGGCCGUGCGGCCACGUCGCCGGUAAGUGGAGGAGUGACCGAGUGGCCACAGUGCUCCAAGUUUAUCCACGGUGAGAUCUUUUCAGGGGGAGCAACAUCCACACGGCCGCGACACCAAUCCCGGCAAAGAGGUCGCCGGCGGUGAGAUCUUUUGGCGCUGGCGGUCUGAUCUUUAACCGAGCACUGUACCAUGGCUAAAACCUGAUUCAGUCUUUUGUUACCUGCCUGACAGAGCAAGUUCAGGUUACAUUUUCUCUAAAUUUUCCUUAGCAACUCAUCCAAGGCUCUGCAGCAAAAUUGUAGACCAAUGUUCCAGCUACAAUGUUGCCAUAACAACUAUAGCCAAAUUCCAAUUAAAUCAUGCUUGAAUUUGUGCCCAAAGUUCCUGUAGUGCACUGUUAGUCUGAAAAUUCAGACCUUAACAGCCUGAUAGGCAGAUUUUGGAGCAUGAUUAUCUCUAGAUUUUUCACAAGAACAUGACUUGAAUCCUUAAACAAAGUUGUUCUCCUAUAAUUGGGCUACAAACUUGUUGUGGUCACUUUGGGCAAAAACCCUAUAUUUCAGAAGAUACAGGGCUCCAAAGUUGAACCAACAAAACUGAAUUUCAGACUUAGGCUCUAUAGUGCUUAAGAGGUGAUUUUUGCAAAUAAGCCCAAAACUUAGGGUUUAACUUGCAAAUUCACAUAUUUGUGAACCAAAUGACUUUAUAUGUUUAAACAUAGUAGUUUUUACACUUUAGUCCAAAGGUUCAUCAUUUUUGCACAUAAGCCCCUAGGGUUUGGUUUUAGGGUUUUCCAGGGUUCCAAUUAGGGUUUCUGGUAUCCCAGGGGUAUAAAAGUGAUUCAAGUUUAUUCUUAGGGUCAUUUUAUGACUUUUCCCUUAAAGCCUUUAGGUUUUCUCAACUUGGUUAAGUUUUACCCCUUUAAUCCCUGUUUAGGGUUAAAGCUUCCUUUCUAGGGUCCUAUUUGCAAAACAUUAAAACAAUACAACUUGUUUGAAAUUUUUGCCUAGUGAAUGCACUCUAGGUGUGUCAAACAUAUGCAAUGCUAAUGCUUAUGAUGCCAUGCUCAAGUUUUAGUUAUAGUAACACCAGGGGUGUUACAUAGCCCGACUCCGAGCCCUGGGUCGGGCGGAGCGGAGUUUCCUAUGGCGCCUUUGGUAGGGCCUGACUGCCUGUCAGUCUCACUCUGUCAAGUGGCACUACAGUCGGAGUGGCGCAGGCGGCGCUGUCCUUCUGUCAGACCGGUCAGUGGAGCGGCGAAGUGACGGCGGUCACUUCGGCUCUGCCGGGGGGCGCGCGUCAGGAUAAAGGUGUCAGGCCACCUUUGCGUUAAAUGCUCCUGCGACUCGGUCGGUCGGCGCGACGAUUUAGUCAGGGUUGCUUCUUAGCGAAGGCAAGGCCUCGGGCGAGCCGGAGAUGUGUCCGCCGUUAAAGGGGGGCCUCGGGCGAGACGGAAAUCCCUCGGGGUCGGCUGCCCUUGCCCGAGGCUAGGCUCGGGCGAGGCGUGAUCGAGUCACUCGUAUGGACUGAUCCCUGACUUAAUCGCACCCAUCAGGCCUCUGCAGCUUUAUGCUGAUGGGGGUUACCAGCUGAGAAUUAGGCGUCUUGAGGGUACCCCUAAUUAUGGUCCCCGACAGUAGCCCCCGAGCCUCGAAGGGAGUGUUAGCACUCGCUUGGAGGCUUUCGUCGCACUUUUUUGCAAGGGGACCAGCCUUUCUCGGUUGCAUUUUGUUCCGGUGGGUGCGCGCGAGCGCACCCGCCGGGUGUAGCCCCCGAGGCCUCGGAGGAGUGGUUUCACUCCCCCGAGGUCUUAAUGCCUUGCGUAAUGCUUUGGCUGGUCUGGUUGUUCCCUCAUGCGAACUGGCCGUAGCCCGGGUGCACGGUCGGGGCCCAAGCUCUCGGGCUGGUAUGUUGACGCUGCCAACGGUUCGGCCGGAGCCGGGUUUGCGAGAGCAGCCCCCGAGCCUCCGCACAGGGCAAGAGGGCGAUCAGGGACAGACUCAGCUUUUUUACAUACGCCCCUACGUCGCCUUUCCGCAAGGAGGAGGGGGGAGAGCGCCAUGUUACCCCCGAUGGGCACCGAACAUGGUGUCUCCGGUGAGCUGCAAGCGGGUAAUCCGAGUGGACGUCCGUGCCCCGUUCGUUGGGGGUCGGCUAGGGGCCCAGAGGCACGCCCAAAAGUACCUGCGGGUGAUCUGCCGGACCCGGUCCCCUGGCGACGGGGUCCGAGGGCUCGAUGCCUCCCUCUGAUGGGAUUCCGUUACAAGAUCGCUCCCGCUGGUCUCGGAAAUGUCCUAGGGUACCUCAGGAGCGCAGCCCGAGCCUCGGUUAUGUAUCGAACGUACCCCUGGUCAUCCCUCGCUCGGCGUCUGAGGCGACUGUGAACCCUUCGGGGGCCAGCCUUCGAACCCCUGAUCAGUAAUGGGUGUAGGGCCCACGCGAUCUGAGGCGACUGUUGAACCCCUCGGAGGGCCAGCCUUCGAACCUCUGAUCAGUAGGGGGGGCUCGGAGCCCGGUUCCUUCCCAGGGAAGGAUCCUUUUCGGGGUAUCCCCCUUUCCCGGUCCCUGUUGCAAGAGAUAGAGAAAGAGGAAAAAAUGAAAAGGAUACGAAAUCGAACGAUGUGGCGUACCUUUUUUGGCGCGGUUAUUACGGCGAAGGCGAAGCGUCGCCCGCUUCUCCUGCCAGAAGCGCCGCCUGUCCCGCCGCGGAGUUAAUGCGACGGGGUGAGUUGUUGAAAGGGCGGCCGUUGCGCGUGCGCGAGCCGUUCGAGGAACGGCUGUUUCGCUUCGCGUUUUUUGAAUCCCGCGUCCGGUCCGGGCGGAGCGCUGGAAACGGUCUCGCCCUGGUCUUUAUAUACUCGGGAGGGGGUCUGGUGACGGUUCUUCGCUCUGCUUCCUGCCUCUUCCUUUAGGUUUUCGCAACCCGAGAAACUUUUGCUAGAGAAGAGGAAAACCGCCCUUCCUGCCCCUUGCGCCGCCAUCCCUUUCGUUUUGGUGAUGGCUGAUCGGGUGACCAUAAUCUCCCCGUGCGAUCCGUGGCCCUUUUCCACGGUGACGGCGAGCGAUCUGGAGGAGCUGGUCGGCGAGGGUUUGCUUCGCCCUCUCACCGAUGAGCAGCGACCAGAAUGGAUUCCUCCCGUGGGCGGAGUCGCUCCAUCCCCACCGCCGGGGUACGUCGUGAGCUUCGUCUCCUUCCACGAGCGGGGAUUCGGUGUGCCGACGGGCUGCUUUAUGCGGGCAAUCCUGUCCCACUAUGGGGUGGAGUUGCAUAACCUCACCCCCAACUCCAUCUCGCAGGCCGCUAUCUUCGUAGCGGUGUGCGAAGGGUAUUUGGGGAUCGCCCCCCAUUGGGAUUUGUGGACUCAUCUCUUCUUCGCCGAGCUUUUCGCCUUGCCGACGGGGGAGAGGAAGGUCCGUGCAGCGGUGCGGGCCGGCGGCUGCACUCUCUUGCUGAGGCAGUCGCGGGCGUCACAGUACAUUCCUGCCAUCCUCGCGUCCUCGAACAAGGGGUGGCAGCGCCGGUGGUUCUACCUCCGGAAUGACGGUGAGUUGCUCCCGCCGUUCUCCCAGCGAGUAGUCACCGCCGCCACCGACGCCUGGCGUCACGGGACCCCGCACGAGAGACAGAAGAACCUCGAACCCCUUCUCCAGGCCCUGAAGGCGUUGCGGGAGGGGGGACUCACCGCUGCGGGAGUGGUUGCCGCCAUUCACCGUCGGAGGGUGCUUCCCUUGGCGGAGCGGCGGUUGCCGCUUUGGGAGAUGACCCCGAAGGCUGGCUGGGAGGGCUCACGAAUGUCCCCUGAUCCUCUUCCCUUCAACGCCCUCCAAUGGCGGGUGUCGGCUGCGAUGGAGAAGCCGGACUCCCACGCCUACUCCCAGCUUCGGAUGCGCCCCGACCAGGGGUGCGUAACUCUGGUGAGUGUUCGCUCCUUCCUUCUUCAUACAUCGGGUUGCUCCUGGUUCUUAUGAUCGGGUUUCUUUCUCCCCUUCUUUAGGAGGUGGGGUGGCAAAAGCCCUCCCUGCCACGGGUCCUGGAGGACGCGGUGGACCGAGCAGCGUGGUGGGUCUUCGCGGAGGAGAAGAAGAAGAAGAAGGACGCGGAGAAGGCCCGGGCCCGUGAGCGGAGGCGGGCUCGGGACGCCUUGGAGAAGCGCCGUCGCCAGCAGGAGAGGGAAGGACUCCCGUGGGAGCCGUCGCCGGAGACGCCCGACGACGACGAUGACGACGAUGAUGAGGAGGAGGACGACAUGGCCGCCCGUCUCGGCCUCAGCCCCGGCUUGGGGUGUGGCCAGGAGCCGUAGAGCCAGCCCCCGAGCGGGCCGACACCGUCAGUCCCCGGAGUUGGGGCAUCGGGGUCCCGGCCCGAGGCAUGGGGGCGACCCGAGAGGUCACCUGACCCCUCGGCGGGAGGAGCUGAGGUGGCUCCGGAGGGCCAGGUCAGGGCGUCUGCUCCCCAGGGGCCGCCGCUCGUACCGGCAGCGCAUGGGGGUGACCCUCAAGUCAUCGCGACCGCGCCCGGGCAAUCUGCUCCCCGGGCGUCCAAAGCAAGGGUGGCGCCGAAGUUGCCGGCGAAGCGGACCUCGGCGGCUGUUUUGGGAGCCGGGAUCCAAGAAACCUCCCCCCAGGCGCGGUGGAUCAUGGCCCGUAGUGGGUGAGUAUCUCGGAAUGUCUUCGUCUUGGCUUCCCAUUCAUAUGUCUCGGCCGUGAUUUUCCUUUUCUCGUUUUUUUUAUCCAGCAAGCGAAGCCAUGGCCAGACCGACCUGGCACCCCGGAAGGCCCUUAAGACGGCGCCGGACUGUGCGGCCAGCGCCGCCCCGGGCCUUGUCGUUCAGCCGACCCUUUCACAGGGCAUUUCACCGCAGGGGGCUCGGGCGUCGCCUGUCUCAGGGGAGCGGGUUCCCGAGGCUGGCUCUUCUGCCGAGGCGGCCAUCGUGAUAGGGGAGGCGGCUGACGCCGACGUGGUCCCGAGCCCGCCUGUCGUGCCGGCCAUGCUGGCGCCUGCCGCUACCGAAGUCGCCGCCGUCCCAGUCGGAGAGCGACCGGUUGCUGCCAGCGUCGGGAUGGCUGAUGCGUCGGCGCCCAGUGCCUCGGAAGAGGUGGGCGUGGACGCGCGAUCCGUCCAGCCGGGCGGCAGCCUCAUCGAUGUGCGACGGAGCCCCGAGGCCCCGCGCCAGUUGCUCCGAUUCUGGACCCGCGAGGCCUCGGACCCUGUCUUCGUUCUCGACGAUGAACAGGAGGACCAGUCCUGGGAUGAGCUCCGUGAGCGUGCUGAAGCAACGGUGGGGUCGCUCCGGUCGUCGCUGGAGGUUUUCUGCAGGGACGUCCCCAAAAUCCUCCAGGUAGCGGUUUCAGACAUACCUUUUCCUUUCUGUGAGCGAGACGUUCGUCGUGACGCCCUGUUUCCUUCCCCCAGGAUCUGACGGACCGGAGCGCCGCCAAGUCGUCGUUCAUCCGCCGCGAGGUCGAUGUCUGGGGCUCGCUGCAAUCCCUGAGGACCUCGCUCGCCGGGGCUACUGCGCGCCUUUCUCAGCAGGAUGCCAAGGUAGCGGACUUCCAGUUGCUCUGCGCUGACUUGAGGGCCGAGGCGGCAGCAGCGCGCGCGGAGGCGCAACGGCAACGGUCGGAGUUCGUCCAGGUCGUCGAGGAGCGGGACCAAUCUCGGGGCCGGGCUGCCGAGGCCGAAAGCCGGGCUGAGACCCUCGCGACCGACCUAGCCGCAGCCCGGGUCGCGGCCUCGGAGCAGCGUGCCCGAGCCGGAGGUACGCCUUGGCCGUCCCUGGUUCUUGUUCUUGUCUGUUUCCUCUGCUCGUGCUUGAGGUCUUUCUUCUGGUUGUUCACAGAGCUCGAGUCCGCCCUUGACGAGUCCGCCAAGGCGCUCGCCGAGGCGCUUGCCGGAGCUGCCGAGCAGAGGGAAGCUGACCUCGCGGCCAUGUCCGAGGCCGUCUCGGACGUUUCUCGGAUCCUUGGCUCCGGCGACGUCCCUUCAGGAAGCUCCCCUCAAAGCCACCUUCAAGCCUUGGGUGAUCACGCGCGCGGCAGAGUCCGCGAGGCGCUACACCACGGCGUCAGGCGGGCCUUCGCCGUGCUCGCUUCCCAUUACGUUGUGGACCUGGAACGGGUUAGUGAGGGGUAUUGUCUUCCUGACGAAGACGAAGCUGCCCUGGCAGAAGUUCAGCGGCUCGACGCGGUCGCCGCGGGUCCGAGCGCGGCGCUGGCGACCACCUUUGAGGCGGAGAUCCUUCCCCCUGCGCCGUCGCCGGAAGCCGAGAUGGACCUUACCAACGGCGGGGACGGAACUGAGGGCGCGGCUCCUUCCCAAGGCGGCGCCUAACUCUUGUUGGAACAGUUUCUGUUGGAUGUGCGUCUCACCGCGGUCGCUAAGGCCUGAACACUUUGUCUUUCUUGCAUGAAGUCGUACUCUCCUUUCUUUCAAUUUGCGUGUCCGGCCUAGCUUGUCAAUAACAGGGUGGCUUCCCGAGUUGGGUCAUUUUUCGUGGCAGGUGAUGAGUGAGGUGUCCCUAACCCGGAGGCACAGGAGUUCCUCGGCUCAGUCGGCCUCGCCACUUACAUGUACCCACGUUCGCUCCUCGGGACCCUGCUUCUGACAUAGCCGGGAGAACGCAAAAGGCCCUUUUUGAUCGAAAAUUUUUGAUGCGGAGAAGUACACCCAAUCUCGACGCAGAGGGGUUCCCCCUUUUUAGCCCCCGAGGGAGGGUCGGGCUCUGCCGAGGCAAGGCCGACCCUUCCUUGACGACUGAGGCGCAGAGGCUGCCUGACGGGUCGGGCUCCGGCCCGAAUAUCCAGCGAGUGCUCGGCGACAUCCCUCGGUAUGCCGGGCAUGUCCGAGGGACUCCACGCAAAGACAUCGGCGUUUGCGCGGAGAAAGUCGAUGAGCACUGCUUCCUAUUUGGGGUCGAGCCCGGAACCGAUCCGGAUCUGCUUGGAGGUGUCGCCACUUGGGUCGAGAGGGAUGGCCUUAACCGUCUCCGCUGGCUCGAAGUUGCCGGCAUGACGCUUCACGUCUGGCACCUCUAUGGAGAGGUUUUCCAGGUCGGCGAUGAGGGCCUCGGACUCGGCGAGGGCCUCGGCGUACUCCACGCACUCCACGUCGCAUUCGAACGCAUGUUUGUACGUGGGGCCGACGGUGAUGACCCCGUUGGGGCCCGGCAUCUUGAGCUUCAGGUAGGUGUAGUUGGGGACGGCCAUGAACUUCGCGUAGCAUGGCCUCCCCAGUACCGCGUGGUAGGUUCCUCGGAACCCGACCACCUCGAAUGUCAAGGUCUCCCUUCGGAAGUUGGAGGGCGUUCCGAAGCAGACGGGAAGGUCGAGUCGUCCGAGGGGCUGGACGCGCUUCCCAGGGAUGAUCCCGUGGAAGGGCGCAGCGCCUGCUCGGACGGAGGACAGAUCGACGCGCAGGAGCCUGAGGGUCUUGGCGUAGAUGAUGUUGAGGCAGCUGCCCCCGUCCAUCAGGACCUUGGUGAGCCUGACGUUGCCGACGAUGGGGUCGACGACGAGCGGGUAUUUCCCCGGGCUCGGCACGUGGUCGGGGUGGUCAGCCUGGUCGAAAGUGAUGGGCUUGUCGAACCAGUCUAGGUAGACUGGUGCCGCCACCUUCACCGAGCAGACCUCCCGGCGCUCUUGCUUGCGAUGCCGAGCCAAGGCAUUCGCCGCAUGCCCACCGUAGAUCAUGAAGCAGUCGCGGACCUCGGGGUACUCUCCUGCUUGGUGAUCUUCCUUCUUGUCGUCGCCCCGGGCCCUGCCACCCUCUGCGGGCGGCCCGGCCCUGUGGAUGUGGCGCCGAAGCAUGACGCACUCCUCGAGGGUGUGCUUGACGGGCCCCUGAUGGUAGGGGCACGACUCCUUGAGCAUCUUGUCGAAGAGGUUAGCACCUCCGGGGGGCUUCCGAGGGUUCUUGUACUCGGCGGCGGCGACAAGGUCCGCGUCGGCGGCGUCGCGUUUCGAUUGCGACUUCUUCUUGCCUUUCUUCUUGGCGCCGCACGGAGUAGACGCCUCGGGAGCCUCUUCCGAUGGGCGGCCCUAGGGCUGCUUGUCCUUUCGGAAGAUGGCCUCGACUGCCUCCUGGCCAGAGGCGAACUUGGUGGCGAUGUCCAUCAGCUCGCUCGCCCUGGUGGGGGUCUUGCGACCCAACUUACUCACCAGGUCGUGGCAGGUGGUGCCGGCAAGGAACGCGCCGAUGACAUCCGAGUCGGUGAUGUUGGGCAGCUCGUUGCGCUGCUUCGAGAAUCGCCGGAUGUAGUCCCGGAGUGACUCUCCCGGCUGUUGCCGGCAGCUCCGGAGGUCCCAGGAAUUCCCGGGGCGCACGUACGUGCCCUGGAAAUUGCCGGCGAAGGCUUGGACCAAGUCAUCCCAGUUGGAGAUCUGCCCCGGAGGCAGGUGCUCCAACCAGGCGCGAGUAGUGUCGGAGAGGAACAGGGGGAGGUUGCGGAUGAUGAGGUUGUCGUCGUCCAUUCCACCCAGUUGGCAGGCCAGGCGGUAGUCUGCGAGCCACAGUUCCGGUCUCGUUUCCCCCGAGUACUUUGUGAUAGUAGUCGGGGGUCGGAACCGGAUCGGGAACGGCGCCCGUCGGAUGGCCCGACUGAAGGCCUGCGGACCGGGUGGUUCGGGCGAGGGACUCCGAUCCUCCCUGCUGUCAUAGCGUCCCCCACGCCUGGGGUGGUAGCCUCGGUGCACCCUUUCGUCGAGGUGGGCCCGACGGUCGCGACGAUGGUGCUCGUUGCCGAGGUGGCCCGGGGCCGCAGGCACGGUGUUGCGCGUGUGCCCGGUGUAGACCGAGGCUUCCCGCAUGAAUCGGGAAGUCACAACGUGAGGUUCCGAGGGGUAUCCCUGCCUUCGGGAGGCAGAGCUCUCGGCCCGUCGGACCGCAGCGCCUUCCAGGAGAUUCUUGAGCUCUCCCUGGAUUCGCCGACCCUCGGUAGUUGAUGGCUCCGGCAUCGCGCGGAGGAGCAUCGCUGCGGCUACCAGGUUCUGACCGACCCCACUGGAUGCAGGUGGCGGCCUGACCCUGACGUCGUUGGCGACGCGGUGCUGGAAACCCUGGGGCAGGUGACGUAUUUCUCCGGCCGGGGGUUGGCCCGCCCAUACCUUCCCGACGUCCCGGCGGAUCGACUCAAGCGCUCCUGCUCCCUCGUCGAGCCUGGCCUGCGCCCCGCGGACUUGCUCGAGCUGUGGGUCGUGACCCCCCACCGAAACGGGGACCACAGCUAGCUCCCGCGGGAUGUCAGCGCGAGGCACCGGCCUAGGGAGAUCACUGUCCUCCGGCAUGCCGAGAUGGUUGCCUUCGGAGGGAUCCCCUAGCUCGACGUGGAAACAUUCGUGGCUUGGGCCGCAGUCCUCGUCGUCAAGGCUGCGGCUACCGUCGGAACAGUCGGAGAGGCAGUAGUCACAUGCGGUCAUAAAGUCCCGCAUGGCACUGGGGUUGCCAAAUCCGGAGAAAUCCCAACAGAUGCUGGGAUCGUCGUCUUCCUCGGACCCAGAGGGCCCGUAGGUCGAGACGUCCGUCAACCGGUCCCAAGGCGACCGCAUACGAAACCCCAGAGGGGUUGCACUCGCCUCAACGAGAGCGCCCGCCAAAGCAAGGUCGCUAGGCGGGUUGAGGCCGAGUCGAAAUGACGUAAGAUGGGAAUCAGUCGGUACCUUUUGGUCGACGAGGAGCGACAUAGUCACGUCGGGGACUGGUUGCACCGUCGUCUUGGGUACGAGGGCGACGUCCUGCAAGCCCUCCGCGAGCGCGCUGGCGUCGUCCACUUGCUCGGGAUUGGUGUGUCGCGGGGGGACGGCGCUCGCCUUCGUCUCCAAUGCGAGGUCGACGCCUGACGCGCCCCCCGUUGGGGCGCUGGGGACGUCGAUUCGCUCGACAGCCGACGAAGCGCGGCCUCCCGCUUGGCCUUGGUUGCCCCGCCUCCUCCUCCGUUGGCGGGGGAGAGGACGGGGCGAGCUCGAAUGUUGUUCUUCCACCACGCGGGGAAGAUGUCGUCGAUUCCGCCGCAGGCGGGCGGGUUGUCGGCCGCCAUUGUCGUUGUCGCGCGGCGGUGGAAGGAGUAUCAUGUCGUAGCUGCCGUCGAAGGACAUGAACUCAAGACUCCCGAAACGGAGCACCGUCCCGGGCCGGAGAGGUUGCUGGAGACUGCCCAUCUGGAGCUUGACGGGAAGCUGUUCGUCAGCACGCAGCAGGCCCCUACCUGGCGUGCCAACUAUCGGCGUUUCGAGACCGGGGGGUCCCUAAGCCGACGAGUGAGUGUGCCGCGUGCCCCAGCCUAGAUGGGUCGAGCGCGUGGGCGAGCGCGAAGGGGGGAGAGCGAGGUGGCCGGAGACGGGCGUGAGAGAGGUGUAAAUCCCGCGGCCUUCGUGUUCGUCCCGCGCCCAGGUCGGGUGCGCUUGCAGUAGGGGGUUACAAGCGUCCACGAGGGUGAGGGAGGCGAGCGGCCCCAAGAGAGCGCCUGUCCCGUCCUCGUCCCCGCGCGGCCAACCUUCUCUAAGAAGGCCCUGGUCCUUCCUUUUAUAGGCGUAAGGAAAGGAUCCAGGUGUACAAUGGGGGUGUAGCAGAGUGCUACGUGUCUAGCGGGGGGAGAGCUAGCGCCCUAAGUACAUGCCGAUGUGGCAGCCGGAGAGAUCUUGGCACCCUGCUGGUGUGAUGUCGUGGCUGUCGGAGGAGCAACGGAGCCUGGCGGAGGGACAGCUGUCGGAGCGGUUGAGUCCUUGCUGACGUCCCCCUGCUUCCGUAAGGGAGCUGAGAGCCGCCGUCGACACAGGGCUAGCGGGGCGCCAUCAUUGCCUAUCUGGCGGAGCUAGCCAGAUGGGACACCGGUCUUGUUCUCUGCGGCCUGAGUCGGCUCGGGGUAGGGUGAUGAUGGCGCUUCCAGUUGACGCGGCGGGCCUGUGCCCUAGGUCGGGCGACGUGGAGGCUCCUCCGAAGCCGAGGUCGAGUCUGUCUUCCAUGGCCGAGGCCGAGCCCGAGCCCCUGGGUCGGGCGAGGCGGAGGCCGUUCGGCAGAGGCCAGGGCGGAGUCCGAGCCCUGAGGUCGGGCGAAGCGGAGUUCGUCGUCUUCUGGGGCUGAGCCCGAGUCCGAGCCCUGGGUCGGGCGGAGCGGAGUUCGUCGUCUUCUGGGGCCGAGCCCGAGUCCGAGCCCUGGGUCGGGCGGAGCGGAGUUCGCCGUCUUCCGGGGCUUAGCCCGAAUCCGAGCCCUGGGUCGGGCGGAGCGGAGUUCACCGUCUUCCGGGGCUUAGCCCGAGUCCGAGCCCUGGGUCGGGCGGAGCGGAGUUCGCCGUCUUCCGGGGCCUAGCCCGAGUCCGAGCCCUGGGUCGGGCGGAGCGGAGUUCGCUGUCUUCCGGGGCUUAGCCCGAGUCCGAGCCCUGGGUCGGGCGGAGCGGAGUUCGCCGUCUUCCGGGGCUUAGCCCGAGUCCGAGCCCUAGGUCGGGCAGAGCGGAGUUCGCCGUCUUCCGGGGCCUAGCCCGAGUCCGAGCCCUGGGUCGGGCGGAGCGGAGUUCGCGGUCUUCCGGGGCCUAGCCCGAGUCCGAGCCCUGGGUCGGGCGGAGCGGAGUUUCCUAUGGCGCCUUUGGCAGGGCCUGACUGCCUGUCAGUCUCACUCUGUCAAGUGGCACUGCAGUCGGAGUGGCGCAGGCGGCGCUGUCCUUCUGUCAGACCGGUCAGUGGAGCGGCGAAGUGACGGCGGUCACUUCGGCUCUGCCGGGGGGCGCGCGUCAGGAUAAAGGUGUCUGGCCACCUUUGCGUUAAAUGCUCCUGCGACUCGGUCGGUCGGCGCGGCGAUUUAGUCAGGGUUGCUUCUUAGCGAAGGCAAGGCCUCGGGCGAGCCGGAGAUGUGUCCGCCGUUAAAGGGGGGCCUCGGGCGAGACGGAAAUCCCUCGGGGUCGGCUUCCCUUGCCCGAGGCUAGGCUCGGGCGAGGCGUGAUCGAGUCACUCGUAUGGACUGAUCCCUGACUUAAUCGCACCCAUCAGGCCUCUGCAGCUUUAUGCUGAUGGGGGUUACCAGUUGAGAAUUAGGCGUCUUGAGGGUACCCCUAAUUAUGGUCCCCGACACUAUUACACACAACUAAGGCAUUUGAUCAAUUAUUUGACACCUCCUUAACAACAUGAACAUAAACAAGAUGACCAUCACAACCAAUACACCUAUUCCAUCCCACCAUACAAGUUAAUUAACAUGGAUUGCGAAGGAGAUCACAAUAACUAAACCAAACUCGAAAUCACAAGAUCGACGAUGGUUUUUGGUUCGAACCUUCUACCGAACAUUUAACAAACGUCGGACGGGCUUCACCUCUUCACCAUUGGUACCCAGGGGUUUCUCUCCUCAUAUCUCGCACAUAAGCACAUACAUAUACACACAAUUAGCAUCUAAUAAAUUGAUGCCGGUUACAGGUACUGGUGAUGAAUAACAUAAAGAGAACAGUUGUUCC
rnacentral:lncRNA from 1 species